UACGAAGGGUGCAAGCGUUACUCGGAAUUACUGGGCGUAAAGCGUGCGUAGGUGGUUUUUUAAGUCCGUUGUGAAAGCCCUGGGCUCAACCUGGGAAUGGCAGUGGAUACUGGAAAGCUAGAGUGCGGUAGAGGGUAGUGGAAUUCCCGGUGUAGCAGUGAAAUGCGUAGAGAUCGGGGGGAACACCAGUGGCGAAGGCGGCUACCUGGACCAUAACUGACGCUGAGACACGAAAGCGUGGGUAGCAAACAGG
rnacentral:rRNA from 1 species